rnacentral:lncRNA from 1 species
UUACAGUUAAUCAACCAAGGGGUGGGAGUGAACAAAAAAUUUUCAUUUUUGUUAAAGAUCAAAAUAUUGACAAAAUUCUACAAGUCAGUCCAAAAAAGAGGUGCAAGAAUGAUAUCUUCAACCACCAGUGUGCCAUAGUUGAAUUGGCUAUGUUCCAAACCUCAAAUGAAUAGACACCAUCAGCCUUUUCUUCCCUUUGGAGGUUUCAUGCUACCAUGAACAUUUGAAAGUGAGUGUGGCUUUUUGUCUGAGGUAAGUUUCAUUGACAUUUCAGACUUCUUUGAAGGAAUUAGUGAUGAAAAAAGGAUGGCAUCAACGGCUUCACGCUGUUUUUUCCUUUUCACUAUCAAUUCCUUUUCAGUGUCACAUCGACUUGGUGCAGCACUAUUGUUACGUUCCUCCUUGGAGCUUUCUUCUACCAAGGGAGCUGAAGAUUCCAAAUUAGUACAAAAUGUAUCAUGCUGGGGCGACUCUUUUGAUCUUUUUGAUGCAUGAUUAUCAACCUUACCUCGUUCAGAAUAAUCAAAAUUACUCGACUUUUCACGUUCUACUUUCCUCUUACCACGACUGGUAUUGCACUUGUUGAAUUUCUUUUCAGCGCUCUUUCCACUUUUACUUUCAAAGUCUCUUCCGUGUUCCAUGUGAACAGCACCCUUAGCAGCUUUAGAGGGUCGGUUGAUACUGCCAGCAACCGGAGGAAUAGCAUCCUCUUUAACAGAGGCGUUAUCCUGAAUGGAAUCGAUAUCGUUAGUUUUAGUACAUUGAGAGGGAGUAUCUUUCCCUUCACUUUCAAAAGUUUCUUUCCCACUACGUUUUGAAUGGUGCCUUUUUCUAACAUUGUCAGUAUGCUUCAGUGUUUUUGAAUUAUUCUCCGUAGUCUGUGGAUUAGAAUUUCUAAGAUUAGUAGUUUUGAACAUUGAGUCAUAUGGCUUUUUUACUGAUACAACCAAAUUUCUCUCUUUAGCAUCCUUCAAAAGAGCUCCCCAGUCAGGGUUCACUUGCAAAGUCCUUGAAUUUCCUAAUACCCAAAGAGAAAACUUUGCUCUUGUCAGAGCAACAUUCAUACGUCUAGCAUCAGCAACAAACCCAAUACUACUAGAGUUCUUUCCAGAAUGAGGACUUGAAUCUCCUGCUCUUACAGUUGACAGAAUCAGAAUAUCAACCUCACGACCUUGGAAACCAUCCACAGUAUUAAAUUCCAUGUCAACUAUCAAAGAAGCUCCAAAUGAAUGGGAGAAACGGGAUCGCAGUAGUGACAGUUGACACUUAUAGGGAGUUAUGAUGCCAAUUCUUACUCUGUUGAACUCAGUCAGAUGGCUGUGAUACAUAACAAAUCAAAUGUUUAAAGCAGUAAGCAACAGGCUUUCUCCGAGUAUACAUAAACAAAAUUUAAAUAAGCAAGCCAUCUACCUCUCUUUGAAAAACUUCACUAGCUCAACUGCAGCAUCAGCCUCGUGCUCAUUAUAGAGUGAAAAUGCACCACCGCUUUUACUUCGAAGCUCCUUGCCAUCAACAAUGUCGAAGAAAACAUAUGGUCCCAGACCUUUUGUCUUGUGAAACAAUGCAUUUUUUCCGGACAUCCCAUCUCCAUUGAGUAAUUUUCCAUCAUAAAAAUGCUGAGAUGGAAAGUGACAGAUCUCUGGAUGCAUCCUAUACUGAGAAUGGUAUGAAAAUUGACAGUUAAUGCAUUUCAAAUUUCCAAUCAUUAAGAUCCAUACCAUCCAUUUUGAAGCCAAAAAAUUGAAAAACAAAGACAAUGCAUACUAUUCAUGAAAGUAUGACAUCAGUAGUCCAAAAGCAAGCCCAAUCAAAAUUCAACCAAAGGAUUUUCCUCCUUCGUGGAGGCAUCCUUUUAAAGAGGCAAAAAAAAAUCCCUCUGGCUCGCCUUCAGCAGAGCCUUUCUCUGGAACCUUCAGCGUGAAAGGAAUAGACAGAUCUUCAACGAAAACCUUUCUCCUUUUGAAAGUUGUAUGGAAAUUGUUCUUUGUAAAUCUCUUUAUCAAGGUAAAUUAUUUAAUCCUUUUAUAGAUUGUAGUCUAACCAAAUUAGUCGCUAGCCGGAGACCAUGUUUGGGGGCCAUCUUUUUUCUUCUUUCAAUGUGAAACACACUAUUGCUCUACUGAUUUAAUGAAAUAAUACAAAAAGAGUGGGAAAGACACUAUCAAUCCGUUAAGAAGCUAAAUAAAAACUCCUCCAAUUGACCACUAAAUAGGAUAAAUUGUAAUUGUGAUAUAUGGAAGAUGGAAAACAACCAUGCCAUUUAAACUAAAUAUUAAAAUAUUCGUCGAUAUAUCCUUAAGUUAGAGAGUUUGACAUCGAUAUCAGGAAUUAAUCAAUAUCUUUGAUAAAUCUUAUAAUAAAUACCCAUAAAACAUUAAAAUUUUAUCAUCAAUAAAUUCUAGUGUGAAGAUAUACAUUAACACCAAAAUCGAAAUCUACAACAUAGUUUGGAAGUUAAAGUAACUUGAUUAUUAGAGAUUUUAUAAAUUUUUGUAUUUACAAAAAUAUUGACAUCGAUAUUUAAUUUACCUGUCUUGUCAGCAUGACAACUGGAUGGCCAGCCCUUUGUAAUCGCUCAAACAUACUACAUUCAUACAAAAACUUACUUGCAACAUUAGAAAGAACAGUCGCAGGAAGCUGCUUUGGAUCUCCAACCUUCGAUGAUAAAUAGAAGACUCAAUAUAGAUGCUCAACAAUGACAUGGAAUUUGGAAAGACCGUAAAUUAAAUACUCCUCACCAUUAUGCAUCUGAUUGCACUUGAUUUUAAAAGCUGAAGAGGUAUUAGAGUAGCAGGUUCCAAAGCCUAAAGCAAGAAGAAACAUUUAAAAAAGAGUAUGAAAGAGUCAAGCUUAACUAGUCCACUUAAAGCUAAAUUCUAUAUUGUCAUUUAAAAAAAGGAAAAAAAGAGACUAAAUUCUAGACAGAAACAAACUUACUUGAGCAGCUUCAUCAAUCACAACAGCAUCAAAUAGAGUGUUUUCUGAUGAACUUCCAAACUUGCAACUUAGUAUUGAUUCAGCACACACUGCAUAAAGGUCUCCUCCAGAGCCGCUUAAAGUACUUACCACUAUCUCAGCUUCCCUAAGAAUUGACUUUCGCAAUUUGUGCUUCAGUGCUUUGACUUCCUCGUUAGAUUUCUUCUCAAAUGCCUGUGCUAUACUAAUAUCUUUAUAUAUUUGUUUCUUUUGUUCAUAUAGUUUUCGAAGCUUUGAUUGUAAUUCCUUCAAAGACAUCUCCUUUUCAUCAUCCCCUGCACUGUUUUCCACAGAACUUUUGAUGUCAGGAUUUUCAUCCCUCAGGUUUGCACAUUUGACUUCAUAAUAUCUAAUACGAUCUACCAACUUCUCUAGACUACUACGAAGUUCCAUAGAUGAGUUUGUCCCUAAAUCAUUCUUCGCAUCAUUAGAACUCAUUCUCUCUUCAGCCAACCGCUGAUCAACAAGAGAAUCAAUAUAGAAGGGCAGUGAAUUUGGAUGAACCGUCUUAGCAUUUCCAACUCUGACAAGAUAUGGCUUGUACAUCUUACCAUCACCGUCAUAAAGACCUAGAUUGGAAAUUCUGGAUACCAAUUCAUCAACCGCUGCAUUGGAUUGAGCACAAAUAAGGACCCUUCUUUUCAUGGUACUAUCUAUUGAUAUUGAAUUCCUUUGCUUGUCCUCAUUCAAUUGUCUAGCCAAUGCUGCAUUUUGCCACGCCCUUGCAACUGCAACAGCCUCGCUAAUCUUUUGCCUUGAAUUGUCUUGUUUCAAAUUUCUAUUGAGAGAAGAUCCAGCAAGGUUAGUUCUUUGUGAAGCAGAAGCAAGCAAGGCACUGACAAUGGCUAAUAUAGUUCUUGUCUUCCCAGUACCUGUUAACAGAAAACAAGCACAAUUAGAGAACACAAUAACUGCUCAAUGUCAGAUCCUGAAUAUUACAUACCUGGUGGACCCUGAACGAGGGAUAAUUCCAGGUCAUUCUUCAUAUUUCUUGAUCCUAUGGAAACGUCAAUUGCUUGUAGUUGACUGACAUUAAAGGAUGACUUCAAUAUCUGUUGCAAUGGUCGGGACAGUUUACUUAGAUCAACUACUUUAGAUUCAUCAUGAGGAAUAGAAGAAGUUUUGGGAUUUAAUAUCGUUGGAACAACGGGAAUAUCCUUUAUUGAUGAAAGUGCCUGAAAUUCUCGUAAUUGAGGUGUAAUGCUCAUAAUCCGACUUGCAUACCAUUUACUACGUUCAAUUAGGUUCUUUCUGGCUUGAUGUAAUCGAGAAGAACCACUCAACAAAUAGAACCUAAUUAUGAGCAAAUUCAUUUUUCUUUUAUUAUCUCUCUCGCGCCUAUCCACCUGAAAAAACAAACAGGUAAAGUUAGAAUAUUUGUUAACAUUGAAGGGGAGGAGGGGGUCAACAAAAAGAUGCAGAUAUUCCAACAAUGAUUGCAGGGUUCAAUUUCUCUAUAUUCUAUCAAGGAUCAUUCAAACAGUUCUUCGAACAAAUCUUACUUUUCAGCUUCUAGAAAUGAACUAGAAUGCAUACACAAUACUUUAGAUUAUACCCUAAGAAAUAUUUAGGGUUGACUGUUGAGUAGUGGCAGCAGAUCUACAAUAAGCCCAAGGAAGGUUCAAGCUCCUUCAAGUUGGAUGAGUUAUAUAUUUAAGUUUUAAUAAAAGUGUCCUAACCGUGUCCAUGUUCUAAAUUUUUAAAAGAUGACAUGAUGCCAAGUCGGAGUCAUAUCGUAUCUGUGUCUGCAUUCUUAGAUUUCUUGGAUUGUGGGAAUAAAAACUCUGGAAGUAAGUGAGGCUACAGUCUAAUUGAUGAACUGGAUUUGAAUAAAUUGGUAAGAUCAAUCUGUUUUCAGAAAAGGAGAUUGUAAUACAAUAUGGGCCUUGGGCUGUCUUGUCUUCUUUUUCAAAACCUAAAAAAUCCAACUUGGCAUCCUACCCAUGCAAGGAAACUAAUGUCACAGCCACUACGUUCUGUAUUUCACCUAUGCCAGUCACUUUCACUGGGCAAACUCACAUCACUACCCUAUCCUAGUUUUCCGCUACAGACGGCUGCAAAAUUCGCUGUCUUCCACAAUUUUUCACAUGUGCCACCACAUACCCUGGUUAAUGUACUGGACCAGAUGGGCCUUAUAUUUAAGGAUGCUAAAUUUCAAAUUCUAACGGGGUAAAUGCUAAUACAAGAAACACUAAAAUGCUACAAAAUACUACAAGUAACACUAAGACGCUAUAACACAUACUAUCAUUACUCUCCACUUCAAAAAACAAAAAGAAUUCCAUGUGUCAUACAGUACCUUUCCAACCAUAUGUGCACCCUGUGGAGAUUUUUGUGGAGGCUCUUUAGUUAGCAAAAUAAGGUCAUUUUCGGCAAAGUUUUUAGAAGCCACUGAGUUGUUGUCAUCAUAGGCAAAACGAACAAGAUGAAAUUCAUCAACUCUCUCCACCGAUAGUACAGAAAUCUUGCCCAAAUACAUCUCAUCCCAAGAAGACAUCUCAACAAAAGAAUUGCGUAACUGAGCUUUAAACUCCUCCAAAAUCAACGGCCGAAAAAUCUCUACAUACUGUUCUGGUGACUGAAAACAUACAGGAACCUCUUUUAAAUGUUUAACCAUAUGACUCUUAUCUUCACUCGCUGAUGUCAAACCAAUCAUGGCAAAAUAAUCUAAUUCCAGUAUAGAUCUAUACCAAUCAUCAAGCCUUGGUGGUUUGAAUCUUUUUGCACCAAUCAUCUGCCUUUGUAAAUGGACAGCUCUAUUCUCAUCAGGUGUUUUAAGUUGGAUGACUCGUCGCUUGGGAACAAUGGUGAUUGGUUUUAAAAUAUUUGUUUUCUGGUUUCUGACAGAAUUGAGUUCAAUUUCCAGCGGAUCAUCAGCAGCAUCAGACACUACUUGUUUCAAAACAGCAAAAUUUGCUACAGAAACUGCAGCUUCACAAGAUUGAUUUUUGCUUUUGGAACCAGUUGCUUUAUUAGAUAGCACCUUCAAAUCAAUUCUACCAUUUCGAGCAACAUCUUUACUUAGAAUGCAUUCAGAGUUCAUUUCUUUAGGUCUGGCAUCCACGUCCUUAGAUUUCAAGACAGAUGACAUUGCUGGGCUGGUGUUUGAAUUGCCAGAGGCAUGCUCUUUGAGUGCAAACGUAGAGCUACAUUGAUCAUUUAUUUCUUGGUCUCUAUCCACUGUGUAAUUUGAAGGCUCAACAACCAAAAUCUUACUUUUCCCAAAAUCACCUCGGGCAUCAUUUUCAUUACUGGGAGCUAUACCUACAUCAGAUUUGGAUAGAAAGGCUCUGGUCGGUGAAACAUACGGUUUUGAUUCAUCGUCUGAAAGGACAAUCAAUUCACCAAAUUUUUCCUUCUUCGCCUCCGGACUUUUGACCAUCGUCGGGACAUCUACCUCCUCUACACCAGGAGACUCUAAUGUUGAGGUGGAAAGCUUGCGGCCAGAGGGGAAAUCUUCAAGCACUAAAGCAUUCGUUCCCAAAUUGGUCUUGACAAUAUUGUGUUUUUCGUUCUUGGAUAAUAAAAUCGUUAGGUGUGCUACCUUCUCAGUUAACUCAUCCAUCGCAGCAGCAUCUGAAGAAAAAUUAAACAAAAGUGUACUUAAAAAAUUAGUGACAGUAUUGGGUGUAAAUAUGAUAAAUGGUAUUAAACAUCAUUUCUGUGUGAGAAAAAAAAGGAGUUUCUAGAAAGAACCCUCACCUAACGAUAUAAGGUGUUCAAUAGCCCCAAUUGUUGAUGUAGCAGAAAGACAACAUGAUCCCUUAAUGAAGGUCAGCAAUGAAAUUAUAGCACGUCUCCAGUAAGUGAGAACAACCUUAAGAGAUGACUUUCCCCAAUCCAUUAGAUCAUGAAGCCAAUUGAAACCACAUGCAUCUUUCACUUCCAUCUUGGUACCAGAGAAUUCAACUAAUGAUGGGUUAAAUCGUUCAAAAACAAUGGGGAUGAUCUCAAGUAAGCGGACACAAGUCAUCUGUAAACAAAGAAAGUAUCAUGAUAAUAUAAAUUUGCAAUCAGUAAAUAAGUCUGUCAGUCUAUGAUAAGUAAAAUAUUAAGAUAAGAUCUUUCCAACAUGAGGAAGUUUGUAAAGAGGUCAGUAGAAUUUACUGAAUCCAUUUCCUCGUCCAUGAAACUGAGAGGAAAAAGAAGUUUAGAAUUCUUGGAUGUUUGAUACAAUUUUUUCUCUCUUUUUCUCUCUUUACUUUCCUUUCCUUUUUAUUUUUCUCCCUCUCUCUUUCUUGUUCUUUCUUCUUUUUUUUUCAGAUUUGAAGUAUGUUCCAAUGAGUCCUGAGGAUGGGUUAAUUUCCAGAAUUAUUCAAAAUUUAGAGUCACUUGUCAUUAAGAAUUUUGUAGUCUUUUUUUCACUCUUCCAAGAGUUCGUUUCCUUGAGCAUUCUGGCUUCUUUUCAUUUAUCAAUCAAAUUUUGCAUCUUGUCUUGAUGAUUUAGAAAAAUAAUCGUUUCUUAAAUAGUCUCCUUGAAAUUAUCACUUUAAGAGAGCACUAAUCUAAACUCAUCUUUGCAAUUGGCAAUUUAUUCUUUUACCAAAUAGCUCAGUAGCUGGAAUUGAUUCGUCAUAGAAUGGUUCUUUGCAUAAUAGAAUAUCUUCAAAGGAAGCUAGAGAUUCUUCUCCAAUAAAAUUAAGAGCUCAAUGAUGCUUACUCCGUCCUUUCUGAGAAGUCCAACGUAGAAGCUAUAGCAGCAGAUUUGGAAGGCCCUUCACAGUUUUCUCAAGUUUCUCUAGAUGGUAGCAAAAGCCAAUAAUAGUCAUUGUCGACAGGGUGUGUUUAGUUAGGUAUAUGAAAAUUUUUGCUCACGGUGUUCUCUAAAUAGGUGUAUUUUCUGUUUCAAAAUUUUCUUAUUUGCUCCUCCUGUAUCCCUGGAACUUUUAAUUAUUUCCCUUAUAUUAAUGAGAGGUUGUUUCUUGUUUUAAAUAAUGCUCUAUUUAUCUAUCCACUUUGCAGUUAAGUUUUUUAACGCAUGAAUGGGCUCAGAAUCAAGUAAUCUAGUUUGUGCAUUGUUUGUUUAACGUUCUUGGCAAGUUAAUACUUGUGUACUUCUUCACUCCAUCAAAUGAAAUUUUCUGUUUCUUUUUUUGUGUAUUGUUUCUUUUAAUUUUCUCAGAUCUACAGAAAAUUAACCAGUUAAUUUUUUACAAGCAAACAAACCUCUUAUUCCCAAAAGCAUUCCUUAAAAAAUAAAAACAAGUUGAACAAGAAGAAGAACAAAAAACAACCAAGAUAUUUGGCUUUGAAGGAGGUAUGAAGCUCAUAAUAUUACAGGCUACAAAUAAAAUGAGCAGAUAACCAUUUACGUCUUGAAACGUGUAGAAUGGACAUUGGACAUACUUGACAAUAACUGUAAUCGAGAAAGCCCUUGCCUUCAACCAAUAGCCUCAAAAUAGAAGGCCACGCUGCAUUAGAUAGUAAACAACUGAACUGUUGGAGUAAUUUAGAAUUAACUUUUGAAGAUUGUUUGCCAAAGUUCAGCAUUGAUGCAUCAAAAACUGGCUGUCUAAGAAAUCCGCCUUGGGAAGAGGUAUUUGUGACAUCCGUAUGAUUGGAUAAAUUUUCUGGCAAAGCUGAAUGAAGUGAAUCACCUUCUACUAGCUUACGAAGUAUGAAGAACAAAUGAUGCAGAUUCUGAAAUUUCAUGAGGAUAGAAUCCAUUUGAACCUAGACAAUACAAAUGAAAUUGCAUAUGAACAAUCACAAAUAGGAAGGAAAAAAGGCCACCACCAUCACGUUCACAGUUUAAUUGUGAAUCUGUGAUCAACCCUAAAACUCAAAUCACAUAUGAAAUUCUUGAUAUGACUAUCAGUAAUCAAUAAUUAUUUAGCUAUGACCAAACAAACAAAAGAAAAUUUAUCAAAUGGUUUCAUAAUAAUUAAAAAAACUGACACAACAUAUACUGGUAGCAGAAAAUGAAGUAGUUUACAAGGGUCACUCUUUAAGAUUCGGGAGAAGAGAUGUCAAAUUUUGGAGCCACAGUUUGGAGCCACAAUUCUUUAGAGGGUUCUCAUGCAAAUCCUUCUUUCAAUGUUUGGUGGACCUCUCCCCCUUAGGCGGUUCGAUUUUUUCAAUGCUUUGGAGGAUUAAGGUCCGUAGAAAGGUGACUUUACUUAGCAGGUUCUUCAUGGUCAGGUUAGCACGUUGGACAAGCUUGUCAAGAAGCUACCCUCCCUCACCGGUUGGUCCUUUUUCGUUGUAUUCUUUGUCGGAAGGCAGAGGAAGAUUUGGACCAUAUUCUCUGCCGUUGUGGCUUAGCGUGCGGUUUCUAGGAUUCUCUUUUCCAAACAUUUGGUUUGGCAAGUGUUUAUCAUAGAGACGUCGGGCCUUUGAUCGAAAAGCUCUUCCACAAUCCACCAUUCGAAGAGAAAGGUUGUUUGCGGCUUUUGGCUAGUGUCUGCAUGAUUCUUUGGGUUUUACAAAGUGAACAAAAUUGCUUUAAGAACCCCACCAGUUUCUUCUUCAAAUAUAGGGUGAAUGGAAUAGCAGAGUGUUUAGGGGGGUUGAAAGGGAUUCUAGGGAGUUAUGGUCCCUUGUCAUUUUCAUGUUUUCCAUUGGGCUUUGAUUUCCAAGGAUUUCUGUAAUUACUAUAUAGGCACGGUAUUGUAUACCUAAAGUCUCUUCUUGUAAAGGGAGUCCCCUCCUGUGGGCUUAGUUUUUAGUAGGCCCAUGUAUUCUUUCAAUUUUUUCAAUGAAAGUUGUUUUUUUUUAAGGAAACAUACUUUUCAUCAAUGAAAGUUGUUGUUCUCAUAAAAAAAAAAAAAGGUGAUUUAUCUUGCUUCCAUAUGUCCUUCUCGAAAAUAUUGUGCAUCAUCCCAUAAUGAAAAGUGUCUUUGUCUUCUAUAUCCUUGUAUUAUUGAACACAAGUCUAUUUUCACCAUUCCCUUCAAAAACAUGUUGUAUCAUUUUCCCCCAAGAAAAUAAAGUAUGGCAUCGUUGAAGUGUUGAUCUAAUUAAAUUUACCAAACUCAUAAGCUUAAUCUCUUGGGUCCAUCAAUGAUUUGACAUGGUAUCAGAGCAAAAGGUCAUGUGUUCAAGCUCCUACAAUGUUAUUUCCUCUCCAAUUUGUAUUGAUUUCCACUUAUUGGAUCUUCUACAAAUUUAAAGUCCACAAAUGUGGAGAGUGUUAGAGUACUCAUAUAAAACUAAAUUUACCUUCAUCGCCAGCUUAAGCUUUUGUGUCGUCACCAGAAGCUUUUGUGUCAUAAGUACACAUGCAUGUUGGAGAGAUAAUACUAACACAAUUGGCAAAAUUUGAACAACGAAUUUGGAUACAUAGCUAAUAAGAAACUCCAACAAGAUAUAUAGAUGCAAAUAUAACUAUCAACCAGAAAGAAUACAGUUAGAUAUAAAUUAAAUAAUACAGAUGAAUAAUAACCUAGCUCAGAUUAGAGUUUUGAUUACCAGUUUCAGAGCAUGUCUCAUUCCCAGAAAGACGGCAGAUAAUGAGUGCUCAGAAGAACAAAGAAACUCCAAUCCACAAGAAAGACCCUUUGUGUCUGAAAUUUGUUCUAAGACAUGCUUUCCAAACUGCCUUACUUUCUGAAUAAAAAAAAUAUAUUCAUAUAUGUGCAUUUUUGGAAUAAGAAUAAAAAUGAGAAGGAAAAGGAUAAAACAGAAGACUGAAAGGAUAAAACAGGCGACUGAAAAUCAUUUAAAAAAGGAAAGAAAAGAAAAAGGCAUUGCAUUACAUCACUAGAAUCAAAAAGCGAAAGGAUCAGACUUUCCCCCAUUCUCGGCUCCCAAGUCCACUGCUUCCUCAGCUCUCCUUGCCCCAUGAGAACUAAGAAAUGGGCAGUCAACCUGAAAGAGGCAUAGACUGAAGUGAACCAAGUAUCAUAGAGCCUGUCACCAACUAGAUAAAGCACAAUGUACUUAGCUUUGCAGCAUAAAAAUAAUUCUGAAAGGUAAUUCUCAACUGAUCAAAUAAAUUUUACGUGAAGAUGAAUGCAAAAACCUUGUAAAUGUUUUUAUUAAAGGAAGGAACAUCGUGCACACUUUUAGUGAGUUUUUUGGCUCUUUCCCAUCCCCACCAUCAUCAGAACCAGUUGGCACCUUCCAUCCCAGUGAACUGGAAAUUUCAAAAGAAGAUGAUGAUAUCCAAGUUCUCAGUGGAAGUUCAGAUUCAGCAGUGGUUUCAGAUUCCACCAUAGAAAAACGUGAUCGAGCCCAGAAGACGGCUUUCGAAAAAGAUAUUGGCAGAACGAAGGGAUCAAUAUCAACCAGAACAUCAAUCCAUAACAUCGGUACGCACAUCCACUGUUUAAAUUCUGUUGAAAUUAUAUUGCUCUGCAGACUGAACUCACCCCAACAAUUAUCAUCCAUUUCAUUGGGAGCAAAAAUAAGUGUGUUUUCAUCUUCAGCAAUAUCGAAGUUAUAAUUAACGUUACUUUCAUUGGAGAGAGGUACUAUACAACUAUCCAGCAUUGAAUGAAUCAAUGCAGCAGCAUCUGAUACUAUAAUAGAUUGUAUAAGCUCAAAUGCAGGUUGCCUCAGUGAGCUGUGAAGAGAAGAAUCCUUCAGUGAUGACACAAGAGCAGGGCCCCUGGUCAACAAAAAAAAUGACAACACAUGAGCAACAAAAUCUUAUAGUGACGUAAAGAAUUACAUUGACAAUCGACUAAAUAGUGAUCUAACAAAUCUGUAGUCACGUAAUUUCUUUGUCCUCCGCUAUUCAAUUCAGUAACCACAAAGUGGCAAAUAUUUAUAACUUGUUAGAAGCCACUCACUUAUGUAGCUAAACAUUAUAACAAUUAUCAAUUAAUUUCCCUACUAAUUAUGUGUCAGCCUACUCGGAUCAUCAAUGCUGACCAGGAUUUGAAACUUGUACAGUUCAGGUGCCUCUUCAUAAUUUGUCCAAACUAAGCACUGUGUCCACAACCUUACACACAUCACUCAGAUUUUCAAAGAUCAAAUUCAAAUUAUUUAAGAAAGUAAAUUUGGAAAGGAAUCAAGUGAGUGGACAUGCAUACACACAUACAAAAGAACUAAACAAUUAAUUCAGGUAAUGAGUGUCUGCUUUUUUAGAAAGGAUAAGAAACUUUUGGUUAAGAAAAUGAAAAUAAACUAAUGCUCGAGGAUACAAGGAAUAACGAAAAGAACUAAAAAAAGAAGCAUAGGCAACAACACAGAGUCAUAAAGCAAACUAAAAGGAAACAAAAAUAUAACAGUACUUAAGAGUAAUGAGUGUUUAUUUCCGGACCAAUUCUCAAUCUUCAAGUGAUGAUCUCCUAUGGUUUUCCAUUUACCAUUGUCAGUGAUACAUAAUUAAAUUUGCCUUCAACCACUAACUUAAGCUUUUGGGUGAAUUAGUAGUUUAAUAUGGUAUCAGAGUAGGUGGUCUAGGGAGGUCCUGUGUUCAAGCCCAUGCAUUGUCAUUUUCUUCCCAAUUAAAAUUGAUUCCCACUUGUUGGGCGUUUCAAAUAUUUCAAGCCCACAAGUGAGUAGGAGUUUUAGUGAUAUAUAAUUAAAUUUGCCUUCAACCACUAGCUUAAGCUUUUGUGUGAAUUGGUGGUUUAAUAACCAUCAAUAUGCAAACCAACUCCUCUUUCACCAAUUUCCACUUAAGCUUUUUCUCUCACAAAGGGAUUUAUACUAAUGCUGACUUCAAAAUGAUUUUCCAAAGAUUGACAAAGAUCACCUCCAAGAUCUUUUGUUAAGGUUUUGAUCUCGUUGUUUGGAAGAGGGUUAAAGAAUGGUUGAUAGAACCUGGUUUUUGGUUUCUUCAAAAUUCAAGGUGUCCUAGAAGAAGUUUCAUUUCGUGUCAAGUCACUCUCUUUAGUGUUAUCUUAGUCUAGUUUUGAUUUUCUCUUCUUGUUCUGGCAAGAUUUUGAUAGCUUUAUGUUUAGUAUCCUUUUUUGUAAUUUGAGCAUUAGUAUCAUUUACCCUAGAGACUAUGAGAUCCUCAUUGACUUACAUAAUCUCAAAUUCUUUUCUAACCCAUAAAAGGAAUCAUGAGAUUUUCUUUUACCUAGUACCUCCAUCAAUUUUUAAAAAUAAUAAUAAUAAUGAAAAGAAACCAAUGUUGAACUUUGAAGAUACAAAUAUAUAAAAAUAAGAGGAAAAACCCUUUUACAACAAAGCAUAAGAUCUAUGCAGAAACUAAAACAAUCCAAUUAAAACAAAAGAGGACGAAACUCAAGCAAUCUCUCAACUAAAAAACCAAGGAUGAGACUAAUCUAGAAAGGCUCAAAGAAAUCUUCUAAAACAAAACUCUGCAAGGUAAUUUACAACUCCACGAGAUCAAAACAACAAAGGAUAAGCUUCUAAAAUGUACAGUUGAUCUUAAUCAAGAUAUCAAACACCCAAUGGAAGUGAAAAAUGGGCAACCAACACUGCACUCGAUAAAAAGGCAAUGAAGGUCUUCAAAAUAACCAUGAAAAGCGAGACAAGCAUAAAGGUGGAAGCUUCCUCUGCAAAGAUGAGUAAAAGCAAAACCUAUAGCCUCCAAAAGAUGUUUCAAUCUUCCUCAUGUGAAGCUCGGUAUGAGUUCCUGUUGGAAGUCAAUUUUUGCAUAGAUGAACCAUGACUAGAUAUCCAACUUCAAAUACUUGACAGCAUCUGAGUUGAUCUGCCUUCUUCCUGUAAUUGUCACAGGUUUUCUCCAGAGGAUCAUGUACUUUGUGUAAUUUUGCAACACGUUCAAAUAUCUCUAUGUUCCAAAUAGUCAACCAUUGAAAAUUCUCUCCAUUCCUAUUUCCAAUCGUACUUCCAAACUAACUUCAUGGUCCCAUCAUUGUGCCUGUAGUUGUCGUAGCUACAUUUUCCCCAUAUUUUGUUCAUUUCCCAAUUUCUUCCUAUCUUCACACAUCUUCCUCUGCCUUGCAUGCAGAAACUUAAGUGUGGGCUUAUCACCCAAAUGCAUGAAUUUACAUGGAGUUUCUUUUUAAAAGCAGGGAAUGCAUACAUCAGAUAGUUCAGGUUGAAUGGUAGAAAAAAAAUACAUAGUACACGUUUUAAAUCGAAGUCUAGGCUAACUCACCACAUAUGUGCACACUCGAAAGGAGGGCAUGGCGGAUUCAUCUUAUAUCCUCGGUGAACAAUUUGAAGAGCUAUCUGAAAAUAAAGUCUACCAAUAAAUUUACAUGCAUAAAUACAUAUUACACAUACAUACAACCAGAAAACACUACAUAUAUUAAAUUUGCGUGUGUGACACAAUUCUUAAUUGUUGAAAAAUGAAAUUAAUUAGUAUGACCAUCCAUGGGGUAGAAAAAACAACCUGACAAGCCUUUUGCCUGGUUAGGACACUAAAAUUACUGCUAACUGGCACUUGAUGAAGAAGGAAAUAAAGGAAAUGCCUACGUUGCUUUUCAUGUUCCCCAUCUUGCAAAGCCUCGAGAGACUGGAGGCAUACCACAUUUAAGUUCAGUAGUGAGAAUAAACAAAAUUAAAAAAAAAAAGGAAAACGAUAUAUCAGCAGCAACAAAAAGUAGAUAAUAAAUUAAAUAAACUUAGCCAAAGGCCCCAAAUACUUGCCCGCAAAAACGGCAGAAAAAGAUCAAAAAUGUCUUUAUGACUUUUCUCAUUUCGAGUGUGGAAGCACUGACCCAAUAAAGUGUUACGCAUCACGCUAGGAGAUAAUGUAGACCUCAACCAAAGCUCACAGCCUUAAAAGGACAUUUAUUAAGAAAAAAAAACAAAAUUACAAAGAAAAAAAGAACUGUUAAAACCUGUACCAUUUACUGAAAACUCACGCACACAUGAAAACGGCAGAAAGUGGCUCACUGACCAAGCAUCUCAAAGAGUAGUCUUAAGCAUGUAACUGCAUGAGAGAAUUCAAGUGAAUCGCUGCUUAUAUGAUUAAGUACGAUGUCAAGAAAAAUGGGAUAACGCUCCAAUAUCCCUUCUUCAAACGCAGGAGGCUCCAAGAAUCCAAGCCUUCAGAAAAAACAUAGUAUAUGAGAAGCAAAAGAGAGAAAGAUAUCAUAAUUAUAUCAAAGGUUUAGCAACCACUUCCUACAAUGACUUAAUCCCAAGCCAUACAGAUAAACGGUCUAGCUGUACUCUUGGCCUUGGCAUCAGAGAAGUAGAUGGCAGAGCUUCUGUUUCCAGAAAAGUUAUAAAUUUCUUAAGCAAAGGCUGCAAAGGUUCCAAAUCUGUCGCCAUCCUACAACCAAAAUAACAUAUCCAUAAAGUUGAUUCCUUCAUCUUGGCUAAGAAACAAAGGAUAACAUGCUUGGAUACUUCAAGUUUGGACACAAGAUUCCACAUGUUACAAAAAAUUGAUAGCUGCCGAGUGGAAAGUAGAAAUUGAGAUGUGAAAUAAGGUUAAAGAUACUUGGUUCCUGGUGUAAUACCAAAGUCUAAUUUGACUUGAACGAAAAACAAACUUUACCUUACAAUGAGGGGAGAUGAACUUUAUUUAUAGGAAAAAAGUUAUUACAACUAUAAGUUUGUAAAAGGAACACUAACAAAUCAAAAUAACAAACAAACUUAUUACCAACUGUCUAACUAACUAACUCUUAGUUAGUUUACAAUAAAAGAGUGUGAUGGUACACCAUAUUCCAUCCCCCAAAAUCAGACUCGACCUCAAGGGAAUCCAACAAAGCUAAAGAACUUGCUAGAGAACACUCUAAAGGAUUCGGACUACAAAAACAAACAUCCCUUCUCUCAAGCCUAAAAUUGAGUCAAUUUCUUUUGAAAUCAAGUCCAAUGGUUGUGACCCAAUACUACUAACACAGGUAUCUAAUGCUUCAUUUGAUUCAUUGUAUGGAGAAGAAGAAGAUAAACAACAAAAAGUGCUAUUUUACAGAAUGUCCAUAGUUAUCAUCAACAGAAUGAUAGGACUGGUAAUAAAUUUCACAGUAAAACAGACAGAUGACUAAUUCUUGUCGAAAAGUACCUUAGUUUUCCCAUUGAAGCAGCUAAGCGAUGACCUACCGAACGCACUCUUCUAUUGAAAAAGAAAAGGGCAUAAGCACCCUGACAGACAUGCACCAUAUAAGAAUCAUAAAGAGAAUAGUUCUUGUUCAAAAAAAAAAAUAAUAGGACAGAAUAAUUAGGUAUUCCUCUUUAGUACCGGAAACUGCUGCUGUCCAUCCAAAGCAAGUUCAUGAAUUUCAUCUACAGAUUCGAUGAACUUUCCAAAUUCAGUGAACAGCGAUUGAUCAUCCAGAAGAACAGGAAACAUUAGAACCUGUUGUAAGACAGAACUUGUGCAAUCACUACACAUGCGGACACAACAUCAUAUUGUGGAAAGGAAAGGCGUUUGCAACUUUGCAAACAUUACAAUGUGAAGUGAUGACAACAGCAUGAAUCUAUGUAUACUAUAUUUUUUUUUAUACCAAAAAAAAAAACCACCAACAACAACAACAACAAAAACAACGAUAAUUAAAGAGUUCCUUAGAUAUCUCAACAAGAAGCAUUAUACAGCAAACAUUAUUGCAAAGAAACCUUAGAAAGUGAAUGGUGGUCCUUUUUCUUCUUUCUUUACUUUCAUUGAGAAAAAAAAUAAAAGAAUAUAAGGGCGUACAGAAAACAAAACCUACAAAAAAACCGUGGCAAUUUAUCUUUUAACGAUUUUUCUAAUUUGAUUGUUUUUUUUUUUUUUUAAGAAAACGACGCUUUUCAAUGAUAUAAUGAAAAAGGUUAUUGCUCAAAAUGCAAUGUCACGUGAAACAAAAAACAAGUACAAGAUAAUUAAAUGCCUAGACUGAGAAAAUAAAAGCACUCCAAUUCAGAAAAAUAUCUUGAAUAGAAAUUUUAGCAAAAAAUUGAGAAAGAGAACACCUAGGUGAGGCAUUGGUCCUUGGAACUUCAAACCAAUUGAACCACUACUGAAAUUUAUCAUGGAAGACCAUUGAUUUCUCUCAAACCAAAUUUUUUUUAUGCAAACAACAUUUCAUUGAGAAAAAAAUUAAAGAAUGUACUACCAUACAAAAAACCAAGCCCACAAAAAGAUGGAAGAUUCCACUACAAGAAGAGAUUCCAACUAUGUAAUAAGGUGUCUAUAGGAUAAUUACAAAAGUCCUUCAAAAUUGAAGCCCAAAGAGAAACAUGAAAACAAAGGAGGGACAAAACAUCCAAAGGCUCCCUCUCCAAAUUCCUGAACACUCUCCUAUUCCGCUCACCCCAUAAGACCCAAAGAAUUGCACCCACCCUGCACACCAUAAAAAACUGACCCUUCCUCCCAAAUUUCAGCGAGUAUGGCUUUAGCUACACUUUUUUGGAGGAAGCACUCAUGAUCCCAUUAGGUAUAGUAUGAACUAUUCCUCAACCUACUUUCCUCCAUGGUGCAAAACAGAAAAAGCAACAACAGCAUAAAAAAAAUUAAUUAACAGACUCAGGCUAUGAAAAUGUCAAAGAAAAAGAAGGAAAAUCAUUGAGAGACACCAAGCCACAUGGAGAAGUUAAUUGAACUUGGUGUAAUCGCUAUCUGAAAUCAUUGUCUAGUACCAUGCUUUGCCAGCUGCCUCUACUGUUGCAGCCUCCUCCUUCGGGAUAAUGCUCCUCUUGUCAAGCUUUUCCUUCUUUACUCUCACAUUGUGCCUCAGCCAGUAAAGACAUUCUCCUGUAGUCUUAGCAUAUGGAUUAAGCUUCAACAUGGAGCUAAGGCUCUUGAGUAGGUUCUUCAAUGAAGGUCUCUUCACAUCCUUCUUGAUGUGCUGUUAAGAGUGAACCUCGUCAUAAUUGAUGAUCCUAGCCAAAUCAGCAGUGACCAUUUUCGCCCUUGGAAGAACGUAACCCUUCUUUUUCUCAUAGAACUUUUCAAACGAUCCAUAAAUGGAAUCAAGAUUUUCAAAAGCAGUUUUGGUCCAGAUAACAAAUCUUCCAAGAUGACCUCCAGGAGCCAGCUUCAAAAGGUUCAACCUCCCAACAUUCACAAUAUCAAUACCCAGAAUGUUACAGAAGGCCUUCACAAGCUUCGUGUUGAUUUUAUGGAAUUAAUCUAUAUUUCAUUAAUUACUUAAUAGAGAUACAAGCCUAUAUAUAACCAUAGAGAAAUACACUUAAGGAAAUAAUAUCAAAUAAUAUCUCCAGAAUAAUAUCUCCUAAGAAUAAUAUCUCCUAAGAAUAAUAUCUCCUAAGAAUAAUCUAAUUAUAUUAAUACCCUCCCUCAAACUCAAGGUUGAAAUCACAAACUUGAGUUUGCUAAGAACUAAGAAAAGAAACAAUAUAUCUAGAAUAGAAUAAAAAACCCGAAGAAGAAACACACAAAGAACUUCUAGGCUAAAACAAACCCACGAAGAGCGAAACGAAGAACUUCUGGGAUAGAAACAUAGAUCCUCGUAUAGAGAUCUAUAACAUAACCUAGGAAGAACGAAACAAGAACUUCGAGGGGCAAAAUGAAAGAGCAAAACUGAAGCAAAGUAGAAUCAAAGCUGGAUGAAAACAGGGUCGGGAUUGGACAGAUGUGUUUUGUCGGAUCGGAAUGGAACCGAACGAACUAAACUAGAGCAAGUCAGAAUCAGAUUAAACGGGAAAUCUGGGGCGAACAGAACGGAAACUGAACUGAAUGGAGCAGAGAGGCUUAGCGGAUCUGAACAAAAACAGAAACGAGGCGUCGUUGGAUCUGGGCUUCGAUCUAAACUUUGAAGGCAGACAUGAAGGAUGGGUCUGAACAAAAUUAGACAGAUCUGGAACAGAUUGAAGGCAGACGCGAGGAUCUGAGGACAUGGGGUUUCAUGGUUUUGUUGGGACAGCGUAAGGAGAUGGAGCAACGGCAACGAAACGCAGCGGCGAGCGGAGCUUCUUGGACGAUGGACAAAACCGAAACUCUUCGGCUGGGCGUUCGGCUUCAACUGGCAGAGGCGUUCGGCUUCAACUGGCAGAGGUUCAAUCGGCUGCUUGGCUAACAGAAAAACAAGAGGUCGGACGAAGAACUAUGAAGGAGAUGGCCGCCGCGGACGCUAGUGAAAAACUAAUGGGGUUUCUGGGGUUUGGAUAGUGGCAGAUUUGAACAGCAAUGAGUGGCAAAGGGAAGGUGCAACGACAACGGCAGAUUUGCAGAUCUAAGGGGUGGCUUCGGCUAAUGGGAGAUGAUUUUGCCUCCGUUGAUGGCUAAUGAGAGAUGAUUCUGCCUCCGUUGAUGAAUGAUCAACGGAGGCAGAGAUCAAACGGGAUGUGGAGGCUAGAAUUCAAUAAGGCGAAAACCCUAGAGCUCUGAUACCAUGUUGAUUUUAUGGAAUUAAUCUAUAUUUCAUUAAUUACUUAAUAGAGAUACAAGCCUAUAUAUAACCAUAGAGAAAUACACUUAAGGAAAUAAUAUCAAAUAAUAUCUCCAGAAUAAUAUCUCCUAAUAAUAAUCUAAUUAUAUUAAUACUUCGCACCUUCAUUACCAUAAACAAUCAACAGUUCCUCUUGAGAAAUGUAAUGAUGGUUCCUCUAUCAGGGCAAAUGGUGCUAUUGUACUUAGCUUUCUCAGCAUCAGUAAAAGAACCGAUUUUGACAGUUUUCUCGAGAAGCAUAUCAGUACUUGGCCUUAGCUUUCUCAGCAUCAGGCAAAGCACCGAUCUGCAUCAGGCAAAGCUUGUUAUCAACACACACUUUUUCAGCCAUAAGAUGUUCACACAUCUGUGUAAAACUUGCCAAAUAAAUAAUCCCAUUUCCUA